GUAUAGACCCGAAACCCGGUGAUCUAGCCAUGGGCAGGUUGAAGGUUGGGUAACACUAACUGGAGGACCGAACCGACUAAUGUUGAAAAAUUAGCGGAUGACUUGUGGCUGGGGGUGAAAGGCCAAUCAAACCGGGAGAUAGCUGGUUCUCCCCGAAAGCUAUUUAGGUAGCGCCUCGUGAACUCAUCUUCGGGGGUAGAGCACUGUUUCGGCUAGGGGGUCAUCCCGACUUACCAACCCGAUGCAAACUACGAAUACCGAAGAAUGUUAUCACGGGAGACACACGGCGGGUGCUAACGUCCGUCGUGAAGAGGGAAACAACCCAGACCGCCAGCUAAGGUCCCAAAGUCAUGGUUAAGUGGGAAACGAUGUGGGAAGGCACAGACAGCCAGGAUGUUGGCUUAGAAGCAGCCAUCAUUUAAAGAAAGCGUAAUAGCUCACUGGUCGAGUCGGCCUGCGCGGAAGAUGUAACGGGGCUAAACCAUGCACCGAAGCUGCGGCAGCGACACUAUGUGUUGUUGGGUAGGGGAGCGUUCUGUAAGUCUGCGAAGGUGACCUGUGAGGGUUGCUGGAGGUAUCAGAAGUGCGAAUGCUGACAUAAGUAACGAUAAAGCGGGUGAAAAGCCCGCUCGCCGGAAGACCAAGGGUUCCUGUCCAACGUUAAUCGGGGCAGGGUGAGUCGACCCCUAAGGCGAGGCCGAAAGGCGUAGUCGAUGGGAAACAGGUUAAUAUUCCUGUACUUGGUGUUACUGCGAAGGGGGGACGGAGAAGGCUAUGUUAGCCGGGCGACGGUUGUCCCGGUUUAAGCAUGUAGGCUGAUUAUCCAGGCAAAUCCGGAUAAUCAAGGCUGAGGUGUGAUGACGAGGCACUACGGUGCUGAAGUAACAAAUGCCCUGCUUCCAGGAAAAGCCUCUAAGCAUCAGGUAACAUUAAAUCGUACCCCAAACCGACACAGGUGGUCAGGUAGAGAAUACCAAGGCGCUUGAGAGAACUCGGGUGAAGGAACUAGGCAAAAUGGUGCCGUAACUUCGGGAGAAGGCACGCUGGUGUGUAG
rnacentral:rRNA from 1 species